GGGGAAAAAUUAAUAAGGGGGUAUUAAUAAAAAAAUUUUUAAAUAAGUAUUAAUUAUUUUAAUGGGGGUUAAAGUAUAUUAAUAGAAAAAAUUUAAAAAUUUAUAGUGAAUAGUAUUGAGAAAGAAUUUUGAAAUAGAUUUAAAUAUAAAUUUAUAAUAAAGUAAUUUUAAUUUGAUGUAUCUUGUGUAUCAGAGUUUAUUUAAAAAAAUUUUUAAAUAAAAAAUUCUCGAAUUUAAAAGAGAUAAUUAAUUAAAAAAGUUAUUGUUGCAAAAAUAUUUAAAAUAAUUAAUUUGAAAUGAGAUGUUAAUCGUUUUUAAAUAUAUCUAGUUUUUUUAGAAAAAAAUUUAAUUUUAAAUUUAUUUAUUAUUUAAUAUAUAUAUAUAUAUAUAUAUAUAUAUAUAUUAUUUUAUUUAUUAAUUAAAUAAUUAAUUAUUUAAUUAUUUUUUAAAUUUAAUAUUUUAAGGGAUAAGCUUUAAAUUAAAAUUAUAUAAUUAAUUAAUUGAAAAUAUUGAAAAAUAUAUAAUUUAUAUUAUUAAAAAUUUUUAAUUUGUUAUAAAUAAUUUCAAUGAAUUAAAAAUUUAAAUUUAAUUUAUUAUUUUAUAAAAAAAAUAUUUUUAAUAAAUAAAAAUAAGUUAUAAUGAUAAAAUUAGUAUAUAAUAUUAAAUAUAUAAAUUUUUAAAUUUAUAUAAAUUAUUUUAAAGGAAUUCGGCAAAAUUUUAUAUUCACUUGUUUAUCAAAAACAUGUCUUUUUGUUUAAUAAUUUAAAGUUUAAUCUGCCCCCUGAUAAAUAUUAAAGGGCUGCAGUAAUUUGACUGUACAAAGGUAGCAUAAUCAUUAGUCAUUUAAUUGAUGACUUGUAUGAAAGAUUGGAUGAAAUAUAAACUGUCUUUAAAAUAUUAUAUAGAAUUUAAUUUUUUGAUUAAAAAGUUAAAAUAAAUAAAAAAGACGAGAAGACCCUAUAGAGUUUUAUUAUUAAAUAAAUUAAUGUUAUUUAUAAAUAAGAUAGAUUUAAAUUAAUUUAAUAAUUUUGUUGGGGUGAUGAAAAAAUUAAAUAAACUUUUUUUAUAAUAAUUAUAUAACAUGAAUAAGUGAAUUAUUGAUCCAUUAAUAAUGAUUACAAGAAAAAAUUACCUUAGGGAUAACAGCGUAAUUUUUUUUUUUAGUUCAUAUAAAAAAAAGAGUUUGCGACCUCGAUGUUGGAUUAAGAUAAAAUUUAAAUGUAGAAGUUUAAUAGUUUUGAUCUGUUCGAUCAUUAAAAUCUUACAUGAUCUGAGUUCAAACCGGUGUAAGCCAGGUUGGUUUCUAUCUUUUUAAAAUUAAAAUAUUUUAGUACGAAAGGAUCAAAUAUUUAAAUUAAAUUUAAUUAAAAGAAUUUUAUUAAUAUUUUUUAAAAAAAA
rnacentral:rRNA from 1 species